CCGGUGGCGGCCGCGGCCGCCAGGGGGCGCGCAGCUCCCGCCGCCCACCCAGAGCUGCCCCGCGCGCCGCGGCUCUGAGGGGCUCCGGGGGCUCCGCGCUCCCGCCGCAGCAGCGGGCACUUCCAGUGCAAUGUCCAGCAAGUAAUUCUCGAUAAGGGUUAAUUCUCACCCCACCACCCCCCCCCUCCAAUUUUUUUCUUUAGUUUUCUAAGGUAUUUUAACCCUUUCCCUACGCCCUCGGCGCGUAGCGGGGAGCAGUGCCCCGUGUGCCAUGCCCUGUUCCUCGGUGGCCCCGAGCUCCCCCCGCCGCUGCCGGCGGGAUCUGCACGGUCGCUGCCGCUCGGGCCGGCGCACAGGGGACGGGUGGCGGCGAGAGGGAGCGGAACGGGCGGGCCCCCGGUGCCGCCGCAGCGCUGGACGGGGGCCGUGGGAGCCGGGCGGUAAUUGCCUGCUUGACGUCCGCGAGAUGCGAAGCGUGGCUGAAAAGCAAGCCUGGAGUGCCCUUCAGGAGGUCAACCUAUUUGACCAAAAGUUUGAAUGCAUGCAAAACUGA
rnacentral:lncRNA from 1 species